GCCCGCCUCCCCCACCAGGACCCUGCCCAGGCUGGAGCUCCCUCACACCAGGCAGAGCGCCCCCCCACCCCCCCUUCAGCAUCUGUAAGACAACGGAUGCCUUUUCACGAAGAUGGCUCUUCAGGGAAAAUGCACCCCUCUCCAACCUCGGGUAGUUUUUCCUGACCGGCUUUACCCCUGGGGGGCCCAAACACCUGCUCUUGGGGAAGGGCCUACCCUGGCUGGUUGGGCCCCCCGGCACCAGGUGGAGCAGGGGUCUCACCCUCACGGAGUAACAGCAGUUGAUGGAAGAUGCUGGAAGGGAGUCCCUCUCCCGCCUCAGCCAGCCCGCCGGCCAGCCGCUGUUGUUUCUCUAAAGAUAAACUGUUUCACUUUGAACUUCCUCCUUGAGAAUUCUGAAUUCGUGACCUGUCUCGUGAGCUUGGCAAAGGGCCUGGACAGAGUAAGGAUAUUCCCACCGCCCCCCCCCCCCCGGUGUGCAUGUGAUUGCACGUCAGAGCCCGGGUCUCUGGGCGCCCUCCCCCCAAGUGGUGGAGCCUGGGUCUCGGGGUGCCCCCCGCCCGAGUGGUAGCUGGCAGGGCACCUGGAACCCAGCUGGCGCUCUGCGGUCGGUGUAUUUGCAUCCCCUAAAAUUCAAGGUUUCACCUUGAAACCUAAGCCCCCACUAGAGAAGUGAGGACUUUGGGAGGCGAGUAGCUUACAAGGGGGAAGCCCCAUGAUGGGAUCAGUGCCCUCGAGAGGGGACCUCAGAGAGCUCCCUCGCCCCUUCUUCCGGGUGAGGACACAGCAAGAAGUCGGUCAUCUGUGACCCAGAAGAGGGUCCUCAGCAGACCCCGACCCCGCCGGCACCCGGAUCUCAGCCUUGCAGCCCCCGGUCUGCGGUAAUCUGUGAGCAGCCCAGACGGACUGAGACAGCGGGCGUCAGCACCCCUGCCGGGGUGCGCUGGCUCUCAGGCCAGGCUGGGGAGGAAUGGAGAGGCUGAGGCCAGAGGGACCCUCGCUUUCCCCGGAGGAGGGCGUUCUCAGGGCCCAGGCCCACCCCCAGCUGGGCUACAGAAGGCCCGGGUGGGGUGACGAAUCUCCGGGGUUUCUCCCACCCUCAGCAGUGUGUCCAAGCACGUCAAUAGGGGAUUUGGGGACAGUCAGGAGCCCCUCGCUGGAGCCUGCAGCCUCAAUGCGGCAGGAAAUGCCCGGAGUGGAGACCACGGGCUCCUCAGGCUCCUCAGGGCCCUGCCCCCCAGUCCACGGUGCUGCCCACCACACGUGGCCCCCGAGCACUCACUCUGUGGCCAACGGGCCCUGCACUUGGUUCCAGACAUCUAGCGUGACCAGAGAACGUGUGACAACACGCUCAUCACUGACCUGGGAGGAGGGGCCGACAGGGGGACAAAGGCCGCGAUGGCAAGGGCAGGUCUGAGGAUGGGCGCAUCAGGGACAACUGACCAGCAGAGAGAGGACAGUGCCUGCAGGUGACAGCAGGGGACGCCGGCGGAGGUGGCGAGGCCCAGGCUUCUGAGCGGCCAGCUGGGCCUGAAGGUGCCUCAGGGACCGGGGGGCCGGCUGUCUCCCGGGGCUGCCGCUCCAGCCGGGACCCCUCCCUCCGCAUCCUGGACUGAGGGCUGGAGAGUGACAGGCUGUAGACUGAGGGCUGGAGAGGUGAGGCCCCGGGGGAGACAGCGUGACCCAGGCAGCGGGAAGGAAGGACAGGCCCAUUUCAGUGGCCCAAGGGGACUUGGGGCGGCUGCCUACGUGGGUGCCCCCCCUCCCCCGCUGCUUGGCCCCGGGCGGGUGUGCGG